UGUCUGCCCUUGGGCUCCCUGCUUUGCGCAGCGAACCAUGUGCACACGCUCCUCUUCAUUAAUGUCCGAGGAAGCUCAUUGCUCCCUCGGCGCCUAGACGGUUCCCGUGUUGCGUACCCAGUAAAUAAAGAGGAAUAUACUAUCGUAAGCGGAAUUGUUUGCUCCUAACCGACCUAGGUCGGCACGGAGCAACUCGAUCGUGGGUCUUGUGAAGCCAACCCCCAACGGCCUCGUUGGGCGCUUGGUUAACGAUUCUCCAUGUGCUCUGGGAUGUGGUGAACGUGGUUGAGGCCGGGUUUUCCAACUCGGCCAAAGCAUUAUUUGCCGGUUAAGAUUGACUGCCGUGCCCACGCCGUCGUUCCCUGGCUAGUCUGGCGGAAUGGCGGGGUGGCGCCGGUGUCGCAAAGGAAUGCUAC
rnacentral:misc_RNA from 1 species